rfam:Nestor notabilis contig20912, whole genome shotgun sequence.
CCAAAGGCUCUUUUCAGAGCCACCCACACCGUCGAGAAAGGAGCUU